CGAAAGCCUGACGGAGCAAUACCGCGUGAGGGAGGAAGGCUCUUGGGUUGUAAACCUCUUUUCUCAGGGAAGAAAAAAAUGACGGUACCUGAGGAAUAAGCAUCGGCUAACUCCGUGCCAGCAGCCGCGGUAAUACGGAGGAUGCAAGCGUUAUCCGGAAUGAUUGGGCGUAAAGCGUCCGCAGGUGGCUGUGUAAGUCUGCUGUUAAAGAAUGAGGCUCAACCUCAUCAAAGCAGUGGAAACUACAUAGCUAGAGUGCGUUCGGGGUAGAGGGAAUUCCUGGUGUAGCGGUGAAAUGCGUAGAUAUCAGGAAGAACACCGGUGGCGAAAGCGCUCUACUAGGCCGCAACUGACACUGAGGGACGAAAGCUAGGGGAGCG
rnacentral:rRNA from 9 species